CGCAAACGAGUCGACUGCGUCACCAGUGGCUAAGCAGAGUGGUCAAGUUGUUCCCUAAGAGUAAUUAGGUCAAUGUAAUUAUUUAUUUUAGUGUAGAUCCAGGUGGGGUUGGAUGAUUGCCCCCUAAAAAGGUGCAAAGGAUACAUGUAUGAUGUAACAUACUAAAACAAUGUUUUGUUGGAGAGCACACCACCACCACUACAUCUUCGACAUCACCCGCCGUCACACUGCAGGCAAACUUCCCGCACUUGCUAAUGACAAACACCACAACGAGUAUUCUCGCAACUCAAUGUCCACUUAAUGUCCACUUACCUUCUUCCACUUAUCCUUUCCUUUGGGUACGCUGACCGGAUCAGCGUUCAGCAUACCGGUCACCACCUGCCAGUGUCGCUCCCGCUCACCGUACGACGAAGGCACGCGAGAGCUCACCAUGCAAGGAUGCGCCUCGAUAUAGUCCAGCAAGAUCUGAAACUGCCUCGCCGACGUCCUGCUAGCGCGCCGCGGCCCUAGGUCCACGGAGGCCGCCAUGUUGUCUCGACGACUCGCCGGAGGAGAUGCGUCCAUCGAAACGCUUAUCGUUACACGAUAUGACGACAGCCGACGUCCGGCGAUAGAAAAAAAAAAAAAAAAGAAGCAGAAGACAAAAAUGAACGACGGCGAGGGCUCUGGUGGCGAAGCCGAGAACCCGGGCUCGGAAGCUCCGCCUACCGUUCGCUACAGGCAACGAUCGUUUCUUCGAUUUUCGAUAAGUUUUUUGACGUGGGCAGUCUGCCCUGCGUUGCGCGUGCAUUUCCCGUUGGGUUCUGCCUCGUCUCCUUCGGCUGUGUUUUAUGUGCGAUAUUUUUUCGCCUCUCGUUGGCCGGUUAUCGAUUGGACUGUGACAGGUAUCGAACGCGGUGAUCCUGCGUUUUUUUCUUGUUUUUUUUUUUUUUACAGUGUUGUGUGCAUGUAAUGCGGAACGUGUAAAGUUUCUAAAUAAUAAA